rnacentral:rRNA from 1 species
AUUGAACGCUGGCGGCAUGCUUUACACAUGCAAGUCGAACGGCAGCGCGGGCUUCGGCCUUGCGGCGAGUGGCGAACGGGUGAGUAAUGCAUCGGAACUUGCCCAGUGGUGGGGGAUAGCCCGGCGAAAGCCGGAUUAAUACCGCAUACGACCUGAGGGUGAAAGCGGGGGACCGAAAGGCCUCGCGCUAUUAGAGCGGCCGAUGUCGGAUUAGCUAGUUGGUGGGGGAAAGGCUUACCAAGUCGACGAUGCAUAGCCGAUCUGAGAGGACGACCAGACACGCGGGGACGGAGAGAGGGCACAGACACCGACGGGAGGCAGCCGGAGGGAGGCUUCGAAAAUGGACGAAAGUCUGACCGAGCAACGUCGCGUGAGUGAAGAAGGGUUGAGGAUCGUAAAACGCUGUUGUUAGAGAAGAACAAGGACGGUAGUAACUAAACGUCCCCUGACGGUAUCUAACCAGAAAGCAAGGGCUAACUACGUG